rnacentral:rRNA from 1 species
ACGCACGCUGGCGGCGUGCUUAACACAUGCAAGUCGAACGGUGAAGCGCCUUCCUUUUUGGUGGGUGUGGAUGAGUGGCGAACGGGUGAGUAACACGUGAGUAACCUGCCCCCUUCUUCUGGAUAACCGCAUGAAAGUGUGGCUAAUACGGGAUAUUCUGGGUCUGUCGCAUGAUGGGUCUGGGAAAGAUAUUGUUUCGGUGGGGGGUGGGCUCGCGGCCUAUCAGCUUGUUGGUGGGGUGAUGGCCUACCAAGGCGGUGACGGGUAGCCGGCCUGAGAGGGUGGACGGUCACACUGGGACUGAGACACGGCCCAGACUCCUACGGGAGGCAGCAGUGGGGAAUAGUGCACAAUGGGCGCAAGCCUGAUGCAGCGACGCCGCGUGAGGGAUGGAGGCCUUCGGGUUGUGAACCUCUUUCGCCAGUGAAGCAGGCCUGCCUCGUUUGUGGGUGGGUUGACGGUAGCUGGAUAAGAAGCGCCGGCUAACUACGUG